UGUGGGGGCUGCCUCCUGCUCCGUUUUAGCAAGAGAACAUCUCUACAGCUCCCCAUACCACCUUCUGUGGAAUGACAACCAACAUAUGACUUGGGAUUGAAAUCCUUGCAGCUGAUGGAAAAACAAUUAGGAUCUCAUUAAAAUUCUGUGUAGAGAGCCAAGAAAAGGAAGAUAAUGUCAGAGGAAAGGUGAUACGUAGGACAGUAUGGAGAAUUCUCUUAAGUUAAGCUUGUCAUUAGGCAGGAGCACAGAAGGUGCUAAUUGUACAGUGCAUUUCAUUCAUCCCACAAAGAAUAAUUAACAGUUUCCCUUCUGCCUUCACUGAAAUGAAUUGAUUCAAUGCAUAUGCUCUCUUGUUAAGGCAGGAGUUGUCAUAUCUUGGAUCCUUAUGUGCAGAAGAAUUUUACUGCUGGGUUUCUUCACCUGCUGAUUGUUGAACAGGAAGCGUUAUUAGUCAUGUGAGAGAAUGCUGAUUUCAUUAAUCUCUUUGUGUGUCUUCAUUUGUUUCUGCUAUAAAAAUUAUUGACCCAAGAUGUGAAGCAUUGGAAUGAGCAUUGGAACUGCCUUUCAGGGCAUUGACUUAAAAGUUAAUCAUAGUUUUGGCUCCAGAUGGCUACAGUGCAUCUGCUUCUCGGUCUGUGGGAGUCUUAAAGGAUACUUGAUAGCUGUCCAAGCAAGAAGGAAGAAUCCAAGCAGGAACCAGGCUCCCCAGGGAGGGGAAGUGUCACCAGUGAAACAUCAUAGCACUGCUAAGAGGAUCUCAGCCUAAUGGGGCUGGUUGACAGGAAGACAAUGGCCUUUGCUAAGACUGUGUAUCCUCCUCCCUCGAAUCUCUUUUUCCUAGAGGGAUGCCUCCACUAGAGUGGGCAGCAGUCAGAGCCAGAACCAAUAUCAGGGAUCAAGGAAACGACAGGAGAAGUGGUAUUUCUAUUCUGCCUACAGCAGAGCAAGAAGAUUGGGAUUAGCUGCCCAAAUCAAGGUCAGAAGCUCUCUGAGAGAACAUUAGAGGCAUCGUCUGUGGGGAGGAAUCACAGAAUCACAGAAUGGGUAAGGUUGGAAGGGACCACAGGGGGCCAUCUGGUCCAACCCCUCUGCUCAAGACCUAUUUAAGCAAAGUGCACACACACAAAAGGAAUACAUGAACAUUGGCAAUUAGAAGGUUUUUAAUUGUCAAAGAAAGCGGUGACAAUCUAGAGCCAGUAAAAGAAAUGGGAAGAAGAAAGCUAACCUGUGGAUGUGGAGCAGAUAAUCUCAAGUCUGUUUGGGCUCUGUGCCUCUGAUAGAUCCAGGGCUCAAUAGUUUUCUCACACUACUACCUGAAGGCUCUUCUGCAGCAUCAUGAGGUCCUGACAGUUUGUGCAGUUUCCCACCAUCCUUUUGGUCUUCUAGUGACAAUGUCUGGCAGGAUAGGAUUACCCAGAUCCUUGCAUGAAUCCUGGUACUUUCCAAAGGGCUCGACAUGUCCUGGUCAAGAGCAGACUGAAUUUAUAGUCAGCCCAAGCUGAGGUGGAGAAAACCUAGACUCCAAAUGCUGGAGAUCUUCAACUCCAAAGCACCCUUAAGAGCACUCUGGCAGGUAGAGCAUCGAUGGAGGCUGUGAUCCCUGAUCCUUUGCGAGCUUUGCAAUGGUUAGUUAUGGUGAGCAGAUGUUUUGAGUCCUGUGGGCUUCCAUGUACUUUCCAGACUAAAGAUUCUAAACUCAGAGUGUUUAGAAAAGAACAUAAAUAGCCUUGGGCUUUGCCGAAGUGUGAAAAACUUCAGACUAGAUUUUUGCAAUGCUGUGUGAGUGUUGCUUUAUCGUUGUGCCUCCGUCCAGCCACCAGCCAAAAACUGUGUGAAAUGGAGUCUCGAUAUUGGUGUAGAGUGACACGUGAUUCCUUUAUAAUUUGGGGUAAGCUGAGGCUUUAAUCAUGAAACCUUGCAGAUUGGAACUGUGAGGAAAAAGGAGAACAUGCAAUGUUCUUUCAAAAGGUUGCAGAGUUUCCUUAAUAUCUACUCCCUAUAGCCAUCUGGAAAUCUCACUAAGCAACUCAAAUGCUUUCCAGUGCUUUUACUUCACAGAAGCAUCCUUAAGACUGUAAUGCAGGCUUUGACUUAUAGCCAAAAUUGUUAUUUCCAAUAAUAAUGAGCUGACUGAUUACUGCCAUUAAUUCCUGACUGCAAGAAAUGACAAAGAAAAAUAUUUUUUCAAUUAUUUUUCUAAUGACAGGAUAGAAAAUGAAUAAACCCUACCAUUCUGGGACCAAAAUAUAAGUUUGGCUAGUUCUGAAAACUAGAAAAGGGAAAAUUCUACUGUCAGAUAUUGAAAAAAUAUUUUAAAAAUAUGAAGUCACUGUGUGAAAUAUAAUAGAGUAUGUGAACAUAAUCUUAGUGGCUCAGAGAUACAAAACAAGCUUGUGACACAGUGGCUAGUAGCAGCCCUUUGGGUAGAUAUUGCUUAUCUCACAGUAUAUUGAUGUCUUCACUAGGCCUGGACUUGUUAGACAUGACACUUCAAUCUCGGAAUAGAUUACUGCAGCAGCUUUUUACCUCAGGACAUACAAAUUUCAUCCUACUAACUUCACCAUAGGUAAAUUUUUAUGAUACAUAUAAAUUCCCUGUUUUGUACAUCAAAACCUGAUCACGACUGGACCUGCCAAUAAGCAGAAUGUGAAAAUGUUUUGUAGUUCUUUCAUACUACUGGGCUCGCUUUUCUUUCCCUGCAUUUAUGUGUGUUUUUUAUAAGUGGAUGAAAUAGGUAAGAGCCUCAUAAUAUGCUGAAAGACAAGAAAAUAUGAGAGCACUUGUAUGUUUUGAUCUAAUGUGAUGCAGAAUAGCCUUUCAGACUUGAGCUGAGGCAGACUUGCCUCGAGCUGAGGCAGACUCGACAAAGGAAUACUGGCACUGCAGAAAUUAUUUCCACACACAUGAGCUGCCUGGGAAAUACGGGCUGAGGAAAAGUUUACAGAGAGUGUAAGAGAGAAAAGAGUAGAUUUUAAAUGCCUGGAGGAAAAAAUACGAAGAAAAGAAUAUGCUGACUUCUGCUUGAAGGCUUAAUCAACUUCGGCCUGAGCCUUCUGGCCUGAGGAACUUUGGAUCCUGCUACCCAAUGGACUAGACACGUACAUUUGUUUCAGAAAGGUUUGCCUUGUUGUAGAGCAUUGCUGACUGUCUGACUUCUUUAAAAGAAGACAAGGGCUCUGAUUCAGCAUUGAACUCAUUCACUGAUCUAUGUAAUGAAGUGAGCGUGGCUCCAGCGAGGACUGGAGGAAGACUGCAAAUCAUGAAUGAGGGUAGUGGCAAGGAGGAACCUGGUCAUCUUCCCCGAAUGUUUUAGAGAGAGAGCAGUUUGUCUGAGAAUGGAGAAUGUGAGGAGACUUGGAAGCAGCUAGAGAAAGUAGCCCGUGUUUAAAGUUGAAUCCAGAUUCUUCUAAGAGGAACACAGUGACGAGACAAGGCAAAGUGCACCAAGCACAAUGUGGGAAAUUCUCAUUUGUUAGGAUUUUUUUUCUCACUGGGAGGGUGAUGUAGCGCUGGAAUCAAUGACCAGAGUCUGCAGGAUCUCCAGCCUUGGAAAUAACCAGAUCUUGACUGGAUAUCAGUCAAGAACAAAUGUGACCUCAGCAGGCCCUACUCUGAGCAAGUAGUUGCCCCAACUAUGGAGGUCCCUUCCAGCCUGAAUUAUUCUGUGAUUUUGAGUCAGAUCCUACAGCUGGCAAUGGAAGGACCUUAGCUAUCAUGCUUGAGGGUAGAGGUACUGUGAGUAUCUGACUCAUGACUAGACUGGAGUCACUGAUGAAUUCAGUGUAUUUCAUGACUGUAUGUCAAAUUUUAUGGGGAACCUGACAGCUAUGAACUUUCUGGCUCUGGAAGGCAAGAAAUUAUUUGCUGACUCAUAUCACUAAUAAAUGCUGGUAUUUGUCCUAUCCAGCACUGGCAGAUGAUACCUUUGAACUUUUCAUGAUGCUUUGAAUCAGGGCAAGAGAUUAGUUUCUGUGAAAAGGCUUUUUCAUACAUGCUCUGACCCAAAUUUUCAAAGCCUCCAGUUCCCCAGCUGAAACUUGGUCUACAGGAAAAAGCUUCAAGCAAAUGGCAGUGGGAUGGAUCAAAAUGAAUGCUCUGAGCAUUCCUGAGGGAUUCUCUGGGGACAAAGCUGUCUGUUGGCUCUUCAUUGCAAUGGUAACGCUCUAUGUUGCAGUGGAUAAAUUAAUGGAUUGCUGUUUACAUCAGUAUUCCCUGCUGAAAAGCAAAACUCAAGGAACAGCUCUGGUAUUUUAUUUGCUUUAUGUGGGAACAUGGCCAGUGAUGCCCAUAAUUCAUGCUAUGAUAUCACUAGAACUCUGAUAUGUCACAGAACAUUUCAAAAUUGAGACUGACAACUUCUGGAAUUAAGUUUAACUGUGGAUGUGUUUUGUUAACCAUAUUAUGUACUUACAGCAGCUUUUUAUAACUGAAGAACAAGAAGAUGACUUCUCAUUAUCUAGCUACAUAAGUAGCUAGAUACUAACAAUACACUAACAAAGGGGCAGCUGUAGUUUAAUUUGGACAAAAAUCUCCGUUUCAGUUAUAUUCAAAUAUACAGAAUUUCAUGGAGGUGUGUUUUCAUUUGCACACCCAUAGCAUAGAUAGGAGGUUGGAGGUACCAAGAGCAGUACCUCAGACUGCUGUAGCAGCUGCCUGUGUGUUUGUACCACAGAAACAUUUUCUUGCCUUGGAAUGGAUGAGUGCAUGUGUAUACACUGCCUGAUCACUCCUGUCAUGCACAGCCUGGCAGAGACAUGGUGUUUCCUACAUGAACUGCCAUUUCUUCCCAGAUCAUGAGUGAAAGGCUAAACAUGAAGCAGAGACUAACAAGAUUCCAGUUCUGCAGUUUUCAUUUUCAGCAGUUUGUGUUCUGCCACACACCCAACACUCUUUCCUGAGGGAAAAAACCCAACAUAAUUAACAUGGGAUAGAUUUUGUUCAGCGUACUCUGUUUCCUUCUAUCAUUAUAUUUGCUAGAGGAACUAUUUAGAGAGAAGCUUUCUCACGGUAUUGUGUACAAUCCAAGUGUUUUUAGUUUGUCAGGGGAUUUUUUUGGUUUGUUUGGUUUUUUUAAUUUGUUUUUAAGAAAGCACUGUUUUAGAGGUUACAUUUUCAGAAGCCAUUGGAUUUCAGCCAUUUCAGAUACAUAGUGAAAAGAGAGGAGACAGUAAGAACUUAAAGAGAUUAUUAUUUUUCACAUUACUGGCAGGAACAUCCUCAUCUGAGUUCCAUUAGAGAGGUAACUGCCUACAUUAAUAAAAUAAACCAAUAUAUAAUCACUACCAGUCUUAAUGCUUGGGCUGAAUGACUUAAUUUAGUAACUCGUUUAUGAUGUGUUUUAGUAGCAUGGCCUCUCUUAUGUUAUCUGAGUAAAUAGAACAGAUGCAGAUGCUUGCCAGAGGUUCAUAGUUUCAUAAACUUGUCUUUACAGACUAGCUUGAAUAUGCCUUAUAAAUUCACUGGUCUUCACUCACUGGACUCAGUCUUCAAAGUAGGCACGAAAUAUUUAUACUUACAGAUCCAGUUGUUGUAACUCACAUCAGUCAAACAGCAAGAAUGAGCUAGGCAAAGAAACUAGAGUAGCACAUAAAUCACCUUUUUUAUUAAUAAUUUUCCACUGCCUUUACUGAAGCUGUCUUCUUUCAGAGUCUGAGACAUGGGGAGGAGUUAUCUUGCUAGAUUUGUAGAGCCAUUUUCAGUUUGUUACAGAUCUAAUUACCUAA